rnacentral:rRNA from 1 species
UUCGCUAGUAAUCGCGCAUCAGCCAUGGCGCGGUGAAUACGUUCCCGGGCCUUGUACACACCGCCCGUCAAGCCAUGGGAGCCGGGGGUACCUGAAGUCCGUAACCGCAAGGAUCGGCCUAGGGUAAAACUGGUGACUGGGGCUAAGUCGUAACAAGGUAGCCGUACCGGAAGGUGCGGCUGGAACACCUCCUUUCUGGAGCU